UACGUAGGGUGCGAGCGUUGUCCGGAAUUAUUGGGCGUAAAGAGCUCGUAGGCGGUGUGUCGCGUCGGCCGUGAAAACCUGGGGCUCAACUCUGGGCGUGCGGUCGAUACGGGCAUCACUUGAGUUUCGGCAGGGGAGACUGGAAUUCCUGGUGUAGCGGUGAAAUGCGCAGAUAUCAGGAGGAACACCGGUGGCGAAGGCGG
rnacentral:rRNA from 1 species